rnacentral:rRNA from 1 species
UCCUACGGGAGGCAGCAGUGGGGAAUAUUGCACAAUGGGCGCAAGCCUGAUGCAGCGACGCCGCGUGAGGGAUGACGGCCUUCGGGUUGUAAACCUCUUUCAGUAGGGAAGAAGCGAAAGUGACGGUACCUGCAGAGAAAGCACCGGCUAACUACGUGCCAGCAGCCGCGGUAAUACGUAGGGUGCAAGCGUUGUCCGGAAUUAUUGGGCGUAAAGAGCUCGUAGGCGGUUUGUCGCGUCUGCUGUGAAAACCCGAGGCUCAACCUCGGGCCUGCAGUGGGUACGGGCAGACUAGAGUGCGGUAGGGGAGAUUGGAAUUCCUGGUGUAGCGGUGGAAUGCGCAGAUAUCAGGAGGAACACCAAUGGCGAAGGCAGAUCUCUGGGCCGUAACUGACGCUGAGGAGCGAAAGCAUGGGGAGCGAACAGGAUUAGAUACCCUGGUAGUCCAUGCCGUAAACGUUGGGAACUAGAUGUGGGGACCAUUCCACGGUCUCCGUGUCGCAGCUAACGCAUUAAGUUCCCCGCCUGGGGAGUACGGCCGCAAGGCUAAAACUCAAAGGAAUUGACGGGGGCCCGCACAAGCGGCGGAGCAUGCGGAUUAAUUCGAUGCAACGCGAAGAACCUUACCAAGGCUUGACAUAUACCGGAAACGGCUGGAAACAGUCGCCCCGCAAGGUCGGUAUACAGGUGGUGCAUGGUUGUCGUCAGCUCGUGUCGUGAGAUGUUGGGUUAAGUCCCGCAACGAGCGCAACCCUCGUCCUAUGUUGCCAGCACGUAAUGGUGGGAACUCAUGGGAGACUGCCGGGGUCAACUCGGAGGAAGGUGGGGAUGACGUCAAAUCAUCAUGCCCCUUAUGUCUUGGGCUUCACGCAUGCUACAAUGGCCGGUACAAAGGGCUGCGAUACCGCAAGGUGGAGCGAAUCCCAAAGAGCCGGUCUCAGUUCGGAUUGAGGUCUGCAACUCGACCUCAUGAAGUCGGAGUCGCUAGUAAUCGCAGAUCAGCAACGCUGCGGUGAAUACGUUCCCGGGCCUUGUACACACCGC